CCAAAUCAGAAGAGAAGAGAAACCAAGGAAGAACAAACCCUAGGUGGGAAAAAUCAAAGAGAAAGUGUUGGAAUUCAAGGAUUUGAUCAAGCAAAGGUAAAAUUUCUUUGAUUUUGCUAGUGAUUUACCUUACCCAUGCAUUUUCUCUUAAUUUUCAUGGUUAAAUUACAUGUUUUCAUGAUGAAUUCAUGGCUAGUCAAAAUGGGCAAGGAGAGAGAAAGAUGUUGGAUUGAAUUGAUUUUAAGAUAUGUUAGUGUUUUUAGUUAGUUUAGCAUAUUUAGAAGCAAAACAACAAGAAAAGAAUCCAUUUUUUCCAUGAAUCUUCAUUGGCCAAAUCUUCCUUGAUGUGUGUGGGUGAUGGAUUAUUAUUAUUUCAAGAGAAAUGACUUAGAAAAUGAUGAAUAAUGGUGAGAAAAUUAAGUAGGAAAAAUCACGAUGUUAGUGCACUAUAAUGGCUGAAUUUUUCCAUGAAGAAAUUGGAAGCUUUUGAUGCUGAAAUUGGUGUUAUUUGAAUAAUAUUUGGUGAAUUGAGGUAUUAGAAAUGAAAUGGAGCAAUUUGGAGCCAAAUUGGAUACAAUUGUCAUUUAAUCGGGUAAUAGACCGAAAUAGGUCAAUACGGUGUUUAGGCAAAAUUUAGACCUUUUGCAUUUCAUACCAUGCAUUAGUGAUCUAAAUUAGUUAUUUCAAUUGAAGGGCAACGUAGUAAAUUCCUUGAUUUUAUACUGUGUCAAGGUGGUGUGCUCUUCGAUAAAGGCAAGGAAAUUACGCCUGGGGAUCACUAAACUGAGUACACCUGAAAUCUGAACUUUUGAAACCUGUGAGUGAACUUAUUAUCAUCUUAAUUAUCUAGAGUAGUUUUAUACAAUUGUAUGAUUUUAUGAAAAAUGGAUUUAAAUGGUAAAUUGCUAUGUUUUAAGAGAAAUUGUGCUUUUAUAAAAUGAUUUUAUAAAUUUUUUAGAAAAUUGAAUACUGGUUUUGAAAAUAAAGUAAUUGGAGACUGCCUACUUGUGUUGUAAAUUUCUGGUUUUAAAUUGAAUGGCUUAUGACAAUAUAUGAGCAUGAAUGGCUAAACUGAUUUUGGUGUUAGAAUUAUUUGUACUGUGAAUUCAGCCUUGAGAGGCUAGGUUGCGAUAAAUUGCCAUGUCAUGCAGAAAAAGAUUUUAUAAAUCAGGUGGUAGAUAAAAUAAUUCAUAAUCCCUGCAGUGGAGGUUUUGUGGACCAACCUAAGAGAGGGGGCACAGAAUCAGAUAUACCUUACCUCAAUCGAAGAGCCGUGUGGAGGGUAUCUCUGGAGGUAAAGAUUUGAGUGCACUUCACGUGGACCACCGCGUGAGAGUGAGACUCAGCUAAUGCCAAGGCAUGGCUAGAAUUUCGGAUGUAAAGACAUUUAACAGCUUUGGUAGUCUCGGUCAGAUGCCUAGGCCAAGGCAUCCUCGAGAAUGAUUUUGGCAGGAGCCAAGUUUUGUGAAAUACAUACGCCAAGUUGAUUAUUUGAGUGAAUUGAUUAUUGAUGUUAUGAAAAACAUACUGGAAUGGAAUAUCUUACUUGUCUCCAUUUACUCGACUUUAGAUGGUUUAGAUGGUAUCUGUUUACUCACUGGGAUUUUAUAAUCUCACCACUCUCAAUUCCCUACAUUUCAGGCUCAGGAUAGCAGGUAGAUAGCCGAUUCCAUCAAGGAUUUCAGUUAGCCUUGCAUCGACAAAAUUGUAGGUUCACAGACUCGCACCUUAUUGGUUAG
rnacentral:lncRNA from 1 species